ACGUUGGUUAUUAAGAAAUGUAUAGAUUUUCUUUUAUCGGUGAAGUCAUUUAAACAUUUUCCAAAAAUAGUUUCUGUUUCAAGGCAUAUAGUUAGUACAUAGUUACUUUGUACAUAACUGACUUUAAUCCAUAAACAUUAAUGUCUCAACUCAAUGUCCGUUUUAAGCAUAGAUCAAAAACAAUAGUUCCAGAUAGUAACGGCGGGAAUGAUAACAAAUCUUAUCAAAAAUUAC